rnacentral:lncRNA from 1 species
CUGUCCACCUCCUCCUCCCUCCAUUGUUGCAGCCACCAAAACCCUAGCCGCCCCCCCCCAAUCCCCUCCUCCCUAGGUGCUACUCCGUGCCGCUCGGAUCAACGUCUUUUGGUGCGAAUCUCCAAUCAUUUUGGUGGAAGGAAGAAGGGAGGAAGGAAAAGGGGAGAACCCAAGGUGAUUUUUCUUUUGUGUUCAUCCCUUGUUCAUUUGCGCUGCGAUUCAAUGGUUUAGAUGUUGCGUUUGCGAUUAGAUAGAGGGGGGGCUGUCCAGAAUUUUGCGUGGUGGAUGAACAGCGGUAGUUCCAGCAGUUUUUAGUUUUUUUUCGUGAAGAUUUAAUGGGGAUCAAUUUGGGAAUCUUGUAGAACUUUGUUUUAUCUUUCCAACGAGUAUUUAUGCGCUCAAUUUGGAGUUAUAAAUUAAAAGUUAUCAUCGUUUGAAUCCGGGUAUGUGGCUGUCCAGAAAACAGAUUUUUCAGAGUGAUGAACAGCAGCAGUGUUAGCAGUUUCUGGGAAUUUUUCGGGAGCAAUUAGUGUUAAUCAGUAUUAGAAUCUUGUAGAACUUUGUUUUAUCUUUCCAACGAGUAUUUAUACGCUCAAUUUGGAGUUAUAAAUUAAAAGUUAUCAUCGUUUGAAUCCGGGUAUGUGGCUGUCCAGAAAACAGAUUUUUCAGAGUGAUGAACAGCAGCAGUGUUAGCAGUUUCUGGGGAUGUUUCGGGAGUAAUUAGUGUUAAUCAGUAUGAGAAUCAUGUAGGGCUUUUUCUUAUCUUUCCAACAAGUACUUAUGCGCUCAAAUCGGAAUUAUAUUUUAAAAGUUAUCGCUGUUUGAAUCCGCGUAUGUCGCUGCUCAAAUCAGAAAAAAAACAGAUUGCAGGGUUUAUUUUGAGGACCGUUUAGAGGUAAGUAGAUGUUAGAAUUCAAUCAUGAGUUGUAUAUAAAACUUGUGGGGAAUUUUAUGUAGUUGUCUCUGAAGUUUUUGUUUAUUAUCACUGCUGUCCUAAAUUUUAAGUUAUGGACUUGUUAAGCAGCGCCGCUGCAGUUUGGUUAGUGAGGGGAGAAUUGUUACCGUGGCGGGGUUUGAGAUUGCGCGUAGGUGCGGUGUUGUCUUUGAGUUUUUUUUCAUGAGAAUUUGGUGCACUAAGUUGGGUGUCAAAAACAGGUGGUGGACUUCCGGAUCGUUCUUAGGGAUUUUGCCCUAACUUCGGUAAAGGCAAGUAAAACAGUGAUGGUUAUUUCGUCUUUUGAUUGAAGAGGCUCAUACUUGAUUAUGUUUGUGCUAUUUGUGUUCGUAUCCAUUUUCCUAAUUGGGUACCAUCGUUUGAAAUUAUUUAUGCUUUAUUGAUUAUACAUGUGGAGGGUGUGGUUUGAUCAUGUUACCCAUGUGGUUAUUGAUGUGAAAUGGGUGGAAGUAUAUGUCUAGCACAUUUUAUUUGGGAAGAACUCAUGUUGUUGACAUGCAUAAUGCAUUCAUCAUCCAUUGCAUUGAAGUUUUCGUCGCGAUCUUAUGGUCCGACCGUACCGGUACAAAUGAGCAUCAUAUGUUUCCCGAGAAGGGGUAUGAUGCAGCUUCAUAUCCUUAGAGGUAUGAAGGCAGAAGUCAUGUUGCAUCUGUAGCCAUGUGCAUUCAUGGGUGAAGUGUGGAACCUAUUUUGGUGAUGUGGAUAAGGUGGAUCUUUACUUUGUAAUUCAUCUUGGCAUUGAGUAAUUGAUUACUUGCUUACUUGCUGCAAAUUAAUAUUUAAGGAAGAAGUGGGGAACCAUGUGGUUGCUUAUGCACGGUUGGCUUGCAUUGUCCAACUGUUGUUUGUUUUUUUUACUUGCUGAGAUGUGUCAUCUCACUCUUGCAUUGUCUGAUGCAGGCACCUGAUCUUUGCUUUGGGGAAGAAGGGAUGUAGCAGCACGGCCACCACACUUUUAAAUAAAGGAAUAACUGUUUAUUAAUGAUGUUAAACAGGAAGGGUCAAGUCUAGGGAAUUAUUACAUUCUAAUCUUUCAUGGUAGUUGAACUGUUUAGUUUGGUGGGCUGAGAUGUCUAUCUUUUGUCUGGUCAUGAAUGUUUUUUCCUACCGUUGCAUUUUGAUUAUACUAUGG